AUUGAACGCUGGCGGCAGGCCUAACACAUGCAAGUCGAAUGGUAACAGGAAACAGCUUGCUGUUUCGCUGACGAGUGGCGGACGGGUGAGUAAUGUCUGGGAAACUGCCUGAUGGAGGGGGAUAACUACUGGAAACGGUAGCUAAUACCGCAUAACGUCGCAAGACCAAAGAGGGGGACCUUCGGGCCUCUUGCCAUCAGAUGUGCCCAGAUGGGAUUAGCUAGUAGGUGGGGUAACGGCUCACCUAGGCGACGAUCCCUAGCUGGUCUGUGAGGAUGACCAGCCACACUGGAACUGAGACACGGUCCAGACUCCUACGGGAGGCAGCAGUGGGGAAUAUUGCACAAUGGGCGCAAGCCUGAUGCAGCCAUGCCGCGUGUAUGAAGAAGGCCUUCGGGUUGUAAAGUACUUUCAGCGGGGAGGAAGGGAGUAAAGUUAAUACCUUUGCUCAUUGACGUUACCCGCAGAAGAAGCACCGGCUAACUCCGUG
rnacentral:rRNA from 1 species